rnacentral:lncRNA from 1 species
AAUAAUACCAUUUAUAACUAGCCCUUGAUUGUGAAGAAAAUCAGACCAAUGUUCUAAAUCUCGUUUUAUUUCAAAUAUAUAAUUGUGAUUUUUUUUUCAAGAUAAAGAAAGAGAUGUAAAAUGAAUGGAAAUGGAAACAAAUUCAAAGCAAGAAUGAUAAUACAAUUAUUAUAUUUUAGAUUUUUUUAAUGAAAAAAAUAACUUGCCUUCA